AGAGUUUGAUCCUGGCUCAGGAUGAACGCUAGCUACAGGCUUAACACAUGCAAGUCGAGGGGCAGCAUAACGAAAGCUUGCUUUGUUGAUGGCGACCGGCGCACGGGUGAGUAACGCGUAUCCAACCUUCCCUAUAGUAGAGAAUAGCCCGGCGAAAGUCGGAUUAAUGCUCUAUGUUCUUCUUUGAUGGCAUCUGAGGAGAAGCAAAGGUUCACCGCUAUAGGAUGGGGAUGCGUCUGAUUAGGUAGUCGGCGGGGUAACGGCCCACCGAGCCAACGAUCAGUAGGGGUUCUGAGAGGAAGGUCCCCCACAUUGGUACUGAGACACGGACCAAACUCCUACGGGAGGCAGCAGUGAGGAAUAUUGGUCAAUGGGCGAGAGCCUGAACCAGCCAAGUAAGCGUGCAGGAGGACUGCCCUAUGGGUUGUAAACUGCUUUUAUAGGGGAAUAAAGUGAGGUACGUGUACCUUUUUGUAUGUACCCUAUGAAUAAGGACCGGCUAAUUCCGUGCCAGCCGCGGC
rnacentral:rRNA from 1 species